GUUGCCUACGGGACGCAGCAGUGAGGAAUAUUGGUCAAUGGGCGGGAGCCUGAACCAGCCAAGCCGCGUGAAGGAAGAAGGCGCCAGGCGUCGUAAACUUCUUUUGUCGGGGAGCAAAGGGCGCCACGUGUGGCGUUGUGAGUGUACCCGAAGAAAAAGCAUCGGCUAACUCCGUGCCAGCAGCCGCGGUAAUACGGAGGAUGCGAGCGUUAUCCGGAUUUAUUGGGUUUAAAGGGUGCGUAGGCGGUCCGGAAAGUCAGCGGUAAACGCCCGGGUCUCAACCCCGGCGAGCCGUUGAAACUGUC
rnacentral:rRNA from 1 species